GACGAACGCUGGCGGCGUGCUUAACACAUGCAAGUCGAACGGAAAGGCCCUGCUUUUGUGGGGUGCUCGAGUGGCGAACGGGUGAGUAACACGUGAGUAACCUGCCCUUGACUUUGGGAUAACUUCAGGAAACUGGGGCUAAUACCGGAUAGGAGCUCCUGCUGCAUGGUGGGGGUUGGAAAGUUUCGGCGGUUGGGGAUGGACUCGCGGCUUACCAGCUUGUUGGUGGGGUAUUGGCUUACCAAGGCUUUGACGGGUAGCCGGCCUGAGAGGGUGACCGGCCACAUUGGGACUGAGAUACGGCCCAGACUCCUACGGGAGGCAGCAGUGGGGAAUAUUGCACAAUGGGCGGAAGCCUGAUGCAGCAACGCCGCGUGCGGGAUGACGGCCUUCGGGUUGUAAACCGCUUUCGCCUGUGACGAAGCGUGAGUGACGGUAAUGGGUAAAGAAGCACCGGCUAACUACGUG
rnacentral:rRNA from 1 species